UAAGGUAACGGCUUACCAAGGCGACGAUCAGUAGCCGACCUGAGAGGGUGACCGGCCACAUUGGGACUGAGACACGGCCCAGACUUCUACGGGAGGCAGCAGUGGGGAAUAUUGCACAAUGGAGGAAACUCUGAUGCAGCGACGCCGCGUGAAGGAAGAAGGUCUUCGGAUUGUAAACUUCUUUUGUCAGGGAACAGUAGAAGAGGGUACCUGACGAAUAAGCCACGGCUAACUAC
rnacentral:rRNA from 1 species